ACUUGGCAACUAAGAGCAGUAUGGCUUCUUAUAAAAACGGCAGUUUGGAAAUAGUGGCAGUCAUUGGUGAUAGACGAAUGGCAGGUGUUUGCCGGUGCGUGGUUAAUAUUAAAAACUAGAAAAAUUCAAAAACAGUUAUUCGUAUCUAAUUUUUCAAAAACAAGAUGUUUGCUGAUCGUUCUAGAUCAGCACGUUUUUCAACGUGCUUUAAGUCUAUCCAGGACAUAUCACGUUUUAUGGCGCUAUGAUACAUGCAAAGUCUAAACUGUUGUUUUACUAGAAAACUUAAUGGCCAAACCAAAAGUGUGGAAAGCAUGUCAAAGUGUUUUUGUGUUGCAGCUGCUAAACUAAUCUGUAUUUGAUGGCCAUAAUCAUCUGUCAUCCAGGAUGUUACCAGUCAAAUGAGCAGUGAUGUAUAAUGUAUUCUCAUAAGCUAGUUCAUGGACUUUCCCAAUCUAGCAACCUAAGACUGCAUUGCUCAUUUUUAUGUAUGCUCAUACCACCAGGAUCUCGGUUCACUUGGUUUCCCUUCGUCGAUCAGAAAAUGUUAACUGUUAUGUCGUCGUCGCUACAUUGACUGAGGGCUACUACUACAACAUCGAUGUAGAGAAAAUGACCUGUGCUGAUGGGACGUUCUUUUACAAUUGCCCUGCCCAGUAAUCCAUUGCUUCGUGCGACCGUCUUCGUAGUUGGAGCCAUAAGAAAGUGUAAUUGCCAUGUUUCACGUAGGCAGAGAAAGAAUGUUGAGCAUGGUUGUCUUGUGAGCUGCUUCGUGCUUAAAUUAUCCCCGUUCGACAAAGGACGCUUAUGGGCGGAGAUUUAGUCAUGGCGAAUGUAGAUUACUUCGUAAUCGUCCACUUGUGAUGAAUUGGGAACACCAGAUAUUUGACCAAACCCGUCCAGUCAAGAUUUGUGAUGUGCGAAAUAACUAGAAAGAAAAUUGGCCAAAUAAACCUCCGAAUUUGGUUGAAGCACUUUCGCUGACAGGAACGAUCCACUUCAGCGUAAAGUUUUGCAAAAUGUGGUGACUUGGGUGGGAAGAGAGGUAACUUGUUAACUCAGGAAAGAAAUUUCUUCUAUUGAAAUGUCUAUUAAUAUAGUGAAUAAUUCAACCUGUUUCAGUAUACCAUUAAUUAUUUUUGCUUUUGAUAUCCAACAGUCGAAAAAACUCGGGUUGUCGGGCAUUCAUAUUUCUGAAACCAUUUAUGGCAUGGUAUAAGAAGAAAAAUGGUAUGUGAAUUGAGACACUAUUUUUGGUGAUCUGUAUUUAAACCUAGUACUUAACAUUGCCAGGAAAGGAUUUCAAUUAGUUAUUUUUUUUUUUAAUUUCAGCGAGUAAUAUUUUUAUAAAACUACACCAGACUUCUAUCAUAGCUUAAACAACUUAUUAGUUUAUAGUCUUACCAUCUUUUUCCUGUAACUCAGUCGUAAUUUUUGGCUACGUUUCACUGAGAUUUUCACUCGAUGAUACCGGAAAAAGGAAUUGCCAGCACAGCAAAGUACUUUGGCAACAGUGUAAUCAUUUCCGGUACUGAAGAUUAUAUUUCGAAAAGUGAGUUCUAUCACAGGACACUCGCUAAUUCUGCACCAACCACAAGAAAUACGGCAAUUAAUGCAUUUCUUUGGGACCUUCGUAAUGCGAGUGAGUGAAGGGACAUAACAGGUUGAUCUGGACAAAUUGGGAUGGUGGAAAGGCUAAUCGUUAUCCGUUUUAGAAGUCCAUCGAUGUGGAGCCAUCACGAUGUACAUCGGGUCAUGUCGGUUCCAACCGUUGCGACUGACCAUCAUCUCGGGUCUGGUCUAGACUCAACGGCAUAGUUGUGUAUCGUAUACGUUGAAUGCGCAAACAAACAGGACAACUGCCAUCCGAAUGUAGCCACCUAACUACUACCAGUGCACCUGUUGCCCGAGGUACUUAAGAAAUGGAACUGAAUUCGAACAUAACCGGAACACAUAGAAAUGAAGUCUAAACAAAGUUAAAAAAAAAUAUUUUUACUGCGAAAUAAAUAUUUAUAGUUGUGUUCGUUUGUACCAAAAGUGCACGGUGUGUUGUUCUGUACAAUACUCUUGUUGCCGUGUAUUCUGAGAUCGUUUUUGCAAAAUGGACGUGAGUUGUGAGCAGAUUGUCAACAAAACGUCGGGUCGCAACAAACAACACGUGAAUGCUGCUAAAUACCAUCAAUGUUUUCUAGCCCAGAUUGCGUUCGCUGUGACAAAAUGUCCUGAAAUCCUUUAUAUGUGAUCUCCGUUAUGUUGCGUCGUCUUUAUCGUUUUAAUUUCUCAUUUAUUUUCAUUUUACGGAGCGAUAAGCCUUUUAUUUCUUCUUUCAAUUACAAAUGCAGAUGAAUGGGUUGAAGGAGUGUAUAAUUAACGUGGGCUUAAAUAGUGGCAAAUGAUGUAUGUACAAACAUGGCAGGUGUCAAAAAUGGUGAAAAGUCUGUAACAAUAUUGAAAUGGAUAUAAAUAUAAACAUGUUAAUUAUUA